rnacentral:rRNA from 1 species
GUGGGGGAUAUUGCACAAUGGGGGAAACCCUGAUGCAGCGACGCCGCGUGAGUGAAGAAGUAUUUCGGUAUGUAAAGCUCUAUCGGCAGGGAAGAAAAAGCGCGCGAGCGCCCUUGACAGUACCUGACUAAGAAGCCCCGGCUAACUACGUGCCAGCAGCCGCGGUAAUACGUAGGGGGCAAGCGUUAUCCGGAUUUACUGGGUGUAAAGGGAGCGUAGGCGGCCACGCAAGUCAGAAGUGAAAACCCGGGGCUCAACCCUGGGAGUGCUUUUGAAACUGUGCGGCUAGAGUGUCGGAGGGGUAAGUGGAAUUCCUAGUGUAGCGGUGAAAUGCGUAGAUAUUAGGAGGAACACCAGUGGCGAAGGCGGCUUACUGGACGAUGACUGACGCUGAGGCUCGAAAGCGUGGGGAGCAAACAGGA